rnacentral:RNase_P_RNA from 1 species
GGAGUCGGCCGGGCAAUCGCGCGGUGCUUGCACCGGGAGGAAAGUCCGGGCUCCUGCGGGCGGGAUGCCAGGUAACGCCUGGGGGGCGUGAGCCCACGGAAAGUGCCACAGAAAAUAUACCGCCUUUAUUUAUAGAGGUAAGGGUGAAAAGGUGCGGUAAGAGCGCACCGCGCGGGUGGUAACACGCCGCGGCACGGUAAACCCCAUCCGGAGCAAGACCAAAUAGGGAAGCAUGUGCCCCGCCCGCGGGCGCUUCCGGGUAGGUUGCUCGAGGCCGCUGGUGACAGCGGUCCCAGAUGAAUGAUUGCUCUCGACAGAACCCGGCUUACAGGCCGGCUCCUCAU